rnacentral:rRNA from 1 species
AUGGCCGUCAUUUGUGUCCCUCUUCGAGCAGCAGGGGAAACCCUAGGUCUGGUUAUCCAGAUCGGGCGGCGAUGGUGUCUUGGCGUCGUUCUCCUUCAUGAAAGCGCUGUUUUGUUUGUUUGCGGCGUCCUCGGCAGUGGAUUUAGAGAUGUUGGUUGUCAUGUUCGGUUGGUUUGGGCUGCUUACAUGGUGGCGAGUUUAGCUGUGUGUUGUGUCUGUGUCUGGGUUGAGCAUUCCAUGUCUAUGCUCCGUGCACCAUGUUUACGCCUUCUGCGUUCGUGCCAUGUGUUGUAUUACCACCUGUAUUCACUCUUACUUCUUCUAUCAAUGCAAUGA